GACGAACGCUGGCGGCGUGCUUAACACAUGCAAGUCGAACGGAAAGACCCUGCGUUUGUGGGGUGCUCGAGUGGCGAACGGGGGAGUAACACGUGAGUAAACUGCCCUUGACUUUGGGAUAACUUCAGGAAACUGGGGCUAAUACCGGAUAGGAGCUCCUGCAGCAUGGUGGGGGUUGGAAAGUUUCGGCGGUUGGGGAUGGACUCGCGGCUUAUCAGCUUGUUGGUGGGGUAGUGGCAUACAAAGGCUUUGACGGGUAGCCGGCCUGAGAGGGUGACCGGCGACCUUGCGACUGAGAGACGGCGCAGACGCCUAUGGGAGGCAGCAGUGGGGAAUAUUGCACAAUGGGCGGAAGCCUGAUGCAGCAACCCCGCGUGCGUGAUGACGUCCUACGGGUUAUGAACCGCUUUCGCCUGUGACGAAGCGUGAUUGACGGUAAUGGGUAAAGAAGCACCGGCUAACUACGUG
rnacentral:rRNA from 1 species